CUUAAUACUACAGUCGAGUCAUAAUGUAUUCAUAAAUGUUUGAUAUAUUAAAGUUUGUUGCACACUUGACAUUUCACACAUGCAAAUAAACCGGUCCUACUAAAAAGCGCCCGGGAGCGCCCGGAUGAAGAAAAAGCACCGGGAAGAAAAAAAACGCCCGGGGAUAAGAAAAAGCGCCCGGGAAAAAAAAGCACCCGGGAGAAUCAAAUAAGAAUAUUUUUAUAAAAAUGAAUGUUUUCCUUAAUAAAAAAAAGUAAGCCUUGCUUGUUUCGUUCUUACUAUUAAGUGUGUAGAUAUUGUUGUUGCACUUUUACAUUUUAGCUUUCAAAGUAAGUAAGUAAAUAUAAACUAGACUAUAUAGAAGAAUCAUAUUGUCCUCGAUCAAAACAUACGUAUAUUUAGUUUUUAAAAAAAUUUAGUGCCUGAAGUCUAAUAUUCGCAACUGCAUGGUGAACACUUUUCAAAGUUUUGUAUUUGAUUGAACACAUUUGAAUUGACAGUGGAAGAUCAUGGAAGGGUUUCAACAAUCCUGCCACUAAGAAAAGAAAAGUUAAAGCUACAUCUAUCUGCUGUUGAAACGAUACAAUAUUAACGAGAAUGGUUAGAGAUUCUUGGUCCUACAAAGAAAAAACCAGAAGUCUAUAGCUAUAAUAACAUGUGCCUGUCACUUUGAUAGUUCUUAAAUAAUGUGGAACUCUUUUAAUUUUAUAAAAUUAUUAUUUAUCUGUAAAAUUUAAGUUGUUUUUGCAUAAUUCAUUUUG
rnacentral:lncRNA from 1 species